UAUAAGAGAGUGUUUAACAAUUAAAUAGUUUCAUGUUUGGGGAAGUGAGGUGAGAAUCCUCCACAGUGCCGCUACGGUAAUCCAAGGCUCUAAAGCCAAGGAAAGUCCGAAUACCAAUCAUGAAGUAAGUCCCGAG
rnacentral:ncRNA from 1 species